UCUCUGGUGGCUCAGCGGGUUAAGGGUCCAGCAUUGUCACUGCUGUGGUGCGGGUUUGAUCCCUGGCCCGGGAA
rnacentral:tRNA from 1 species